CCCUUAGAUGUCCUGGGCCGCACGCGCGUUACACUGAUGCAUUCAACGAGCUUAUAACCUUGGCCGAGAGGCCUGGGCAAUCUUGUUAACGUGCAUCGUGAUAGGGAUAGAUUAUUGAAAUUAUUAAUCUUGAACGAGGAAUUCCUAGUAAACGCAGAUCAUCAAUCUGCAUUGAUUACGUCCCUGCCCUUUGUACACACCGCCCGUCGCAUCUACCGAUUGAAUGGAGAGGCAAAAUCUUCGGACCGUGACGCUUGGGAGUCAAAUCUCGGGCUGUCGUGGGAAGUGGAUUAAACCUUUCUAUUUAGAGGAAGGUAAAGUCGUAACA
rnacentral:rRNA from 1 species